CAGAGCAGUAUUGCCUCCAUGUCCUUGCUCUAAAGCAAGUAGUGGAGGACUUUGACAGGGCCUUUGGCUUUCAUCCCAGCAUGCAUGACUAUGAACAUAGCUAUGCCUCUGCUGAUGUCUCCCUGCAAGGAUGUGAGGAGGUAUUCCACAUCUCUGAAAGGGACGUGUGUGUGAAAGCACACUCAGGCCAAUAUGGUGUGGUUCGCUGUGGAACCAAGAGGACGUGCCUCACAUGUCCCUCUACAUCAUGUGGCCAUGUGGGUGAGCUACACAGACUUUUGUCUACCUCCCCAGAUAAGUAUGAGGACAUAAGGGGGAUGUGCUUGGAGGAUGCACCCUCUGAGGCGAAUGGGACGUUUAAAUGCCUCUCCUCUAGGCCCAUUGCCUUUCGACCGGUGCCUGGCUCAGUCCGCCAUUCCCCCGGGUACAACGCCCAGUCCCAUCUUCCCAUAAUUUUACGGGACAGGGCAUGCACAACGUGUGGGACUCCUAUUGUGGAAACACAGUUGAGCACAGCAGUCGAGGUUCCUCUGAUAACGAGGAACUUUGUGUUUGACUGCAAAGUUCUCUCAACUAAAUGCUGUGAGGAGUCCCGGCCCUAUGAUGGCAUGGAGGAUGCCAUUAUAAAUAUGGGGACUUACCUCAUUUCACAUGAAGUGAUGCGAGACUACAUGUAUCACUUUUUGCAGACUGGGGUCACCAUGUUUGGAUAUUUCCAUACAUGGAAAAACCAUUUGGAGGACUCAGGGUGCCAAGUCAUCCCUUUAACGUACCACAAGUUUAGGGUGGCUUGGUACGCCUUUGUGGAUCUGCUGGAUCUGUCAUUCGAGGCUGGUUUUGAGUGUGCCAGGUGUGGUCCCACACCACACACUAUUAUUUGUGAUGGGACUGCACUUAGCUUCCGGCGAGCACUUCUGCCAUGGCAGGAGUUGUUGCCCCAUUUAACUACAACUGGGUCAACACUGAGAGGGAGCAGUCACAAAGACAGGGUUUUUGUGCCAGAACCCAGAGGCCGGCUGCUACUGGCUCAAUAUGUGGAGCGACAGCUCAGCAGGGAGGAGACUGAGGAACUUCCUAACAAAGUUCCUAUAUCUUUGAGAGCUGUUCUGGAGUGCUCUCCACAGCAGUGCCCUGAUAACCUAAAGGGUUUGAUCAGGGCAUUGUCAAAAAACAGUCCGGCUUGUGGCCUACUUCAUCCCUCAGCUGAACUGCAAGGGUUUUUGGAGAGGAUUGCCACUGGGUAUCCUGUGCGUCACUCAGUGGAUGAUAUGCUGUACCUCCAACAGCAGGUCCCAGUCCUCUUUCAAAUGUUGAAAGACACUGAGGACAAUCAUGUUCCAACUCUCCUCGGGUCUCUUUUACUAGACCUUUUCUCUAAAGCAGAGGCACCAUUCCUGGGUGAAGAGUUGGUGGAUGAUUCACCAGUUGAGGCCAGCCUUUCUUUCUUCCCUUCACUGCCUGUAAUUAGGCAGAGGGGACACUACUUGGCUGACUCCAAGCAGAGUAAACCGGCAUGCCACAAAAAUGCCUCUGGCCAUCCCUCCCUUCUGCCUGGUGUAUUUCUCAUCCACUGUGAGCAUGGGAUCUGCUACGGUUUCCAGAUGAUGGUCAAACAUGAAUCUCCAGACACGCCGUUCACUGUCCUGAAGCCCAGAUUCAUGGAAAUACCUAAGGUGGUCAUAUAUGACAACAGCUGCAACCUCCACCAGUACUGCCUCAACCGUGACCCGCUGUCCUUCAAAAAGACAUGGUUUUUGGUUGAUCGCCUUCACUGGAAAAACCACUGAGAUCCUUGCUCCUGAUAUCCUGAUGUAUGGGUUGCAUUUCAUCAUAUGACUCCAACAGAACACUCACAGAAAGGAGAAUGGUGUCAAACUACAAGACAGCCAGCAUGUGUGUUACGGAGCGCAUCCUCACAUCAUGAUCUACUGCAGUGGAGACAGAGGACAAUUGGCAGGUAUUUUACGUCAUUUUUACAUUACUUUUACUGCUAUGGUAGAUAUGGUUGUUGCUGUGCUAAAUAUAGGCCCAUAUUGUUUGACCACCUAAACCAGGGAUCCCCAAACUUUUUCUUCCGAGGGCCAGCUCACUAUGCCUGGCUCCAAGAGAGGGCCAGAGAC